CCCCAGGCGCUCGUGGGCUGGGAAUCGCGCGCAGCUGCGCCGCCUUCGCUCUGCCCAGACCACAGGUGCACCUCGGCCACCAGGAAGCUCACAACAGAGAGUCUGGACUCUCUUCACAGCUGUAAAUAGAAGAGGCAUCACUUGGACCUAGUACCACCAGCACCAGAGACUGAGACUUAAAUGAAAGCCUGGUCUAGCCUCAGAGUAGCCAGUGUCCUGGCCUAGAGUCCUGGGUCCGAUGCCUACCUCGGCACUAACUACCUGAGUGUCCAUGAUGAUUUGCAGUGGAGGACCCCAGCCCAUGGAAUGGUACCGCAAACGAACUGAGAACAUAGCAAGGUUUUCAGCUCCUCAAGUCAAGCAU